rnacentral:rRNA from 1 species
GACGAACGCUGGCGGCGUGCUUAACACAUGCAAGUCGAACGGUGAAGGGACCAGCUUGCUGGUUCUGGAUGAGUGGCGAACGGGUGAGUAACACGUGAGUAACCUGCCCCCUUCUUCUGGAUAACCGCAUGAAAGUGUGGCUAAUACGGGAUAUUCUGGGUCUGUCGCAUGGCGGGCCCGGGAAAGAUAUUGCUUCGGUGGGGGAUGGGCUCGCGGCCUAUCAGCUUGUUGGUGGGGUGAUGGCCUACCAAGGCGGUGACGGGUAGCCGGCCGGAGGGGGGGGACGGUCACACGGGGACUGGGACCCGGCCCAGACUCCUACGGGAGGCAGCAGUGGGGAAUAUUGCACAAUGGGCGCAAGCCUGAUGCAGCGACGCCGCGUGAGGGAUGGAGGCCUUCGGGUUGUAAACCUCUUUCGCCAGUGAAGCAGGCCUGCUCCUUGUGGGUGGGUUGACGGUAGCUGGAUAAGAAGCGCCGGCUAACUACGUG